AUUGAACGCUGGCGGCAGGCCUAACACAUGCAAGUCGAACGGUAACAGGAAGCAGCUUGCUGCUUUGCUGACGAGUGGCGGACGGGUGAGUAAUGUCUGGGAAACUGCCCGAUGGAGGGGGAUAACUACUGGAAACGGUAGCUAAUACCGCAUAACGUCGCAAGACCAAAGAGGGGGACCUUAGGGCCUCUUGCCAUCGGAUGUGCCCAGAUGGGAUUAGCUAGUAGGUGGGGUAACGGCUCACCUAGGCGACGAUCCCUAGCUGGUCUGAGAGGAUGACCAGCCACACUGGAACUGAGACACGGUCCAGACUCCUACGGGAGGCAGCAGUGGGGAAUAUUGCACAAUGGGCCCAAUCCUGAUGCAGCCAUGCCGCGUGUAUGAAGAAGGCCUUCGGGUUGUAAAGUACUUUCAGCGGGGAGGAAGGGAGUAAAGUUAAUACCUUUGCUCAUUGACGUUACCCGCAGAAGAAGCACCGGCUAACUCCGUG
rnacentral:rRNA from 1 species